rnacentral:rRNA from 1 species
CUGGCUCAGGAUGAAUGCUAGCGGCAGGCUUAACACAUGCAAGUCGAGGGGCAUCGGGAGGGAAGCUUGCUUUCCUUGCCGGCGACCGGCGCACGGGUGAGUAACACGUAUGCAACCUGCCCUCUUCAGGGGGACAACCUUCCGAAAGGGAGGCUAAUCCCGCGUAUAUCGGUUUCGGGCAUCCGAGAUCGAGGAAAGAUUCAUCGGAAGAGGAUGGGCAUGCGGCGCAUUAGCUAGACGGCGGGGUAACGGCCCACCGUGGCGACGAUGCGUAGGGGUUCUGAGAGGAAGGUCCCCCACACUGGUACUGAGACACGGACCAGACUCCUACGGGAGGCAGCAGUGAGGAAUAUUGGUCAAUGGGAGAGAUCCUGAACCAGCCAAGCCGCGUGAGGGAAGACGGCCCUAUGGGUUGUAAACCUCUUUUGUCGGAGAACAAAACCCGGGACGUGUCCCGGACUGCGUGUAUCCGAAGAAAAAGCAUCGGCUAACUCCGUGCCAGCAGCCGCGGUAAUACGGAGGAUGCGAGCGUUAUCCGGAUUUAUUGGGUUUAAAGGGUGCGUAGGCGGUCCGUUAAGUCAGCGGUAAAAUUGCGGGGCUCAACCCCGUCGAGCCGUUGAAACUGGCAGACUUGAGUUGGCGAGAAGUACGCGGAAUGCGCGGUGUAGCGGUGAAAUGCAUAGAUAUCGCGCAGAACUCCGAUUGCGAAGGCAGCGUACCGGCGCCAGACUGACGCCGAGGCACGAAAGCGUGGGGAUCGAACAGGAUUAGAUACCCUGGUAGUCCACGCAGUAAACGAUGAAUGCUGGUUGUCCGGGUCGAAUGAGAUCUGGGCGGCGAAGCGAAAGCGAUAAGCAUUCCACCUGGGGAGUACGCCGGCAACGGUGAAACUCAAAGGAAUUGACGGGGGCCCGCACAAGCGGAGGAACAUGUGGUUUAAUUCGAUGAUACGCGAGGAACCUUACCCGGGCUCAAACGGGAGUGGAAUGGACCAGAGACGGUUCAGCCUACGGGCCGCUUCCGAGGUGCUGCAUGGUUGUCGUCAGCUCGUGCCGUGAGGUGUCGGCUUAAGUGCCAUAACGAGCGCAACCCCCGCCGGCAGUUGCUAACGGGCAAUGCCGAGGACUCUGCCGGGACUGCCGCCGCAAGGCGUGAGGAAGGCGGGGAUGACGUCAAAUCAGCACGGCCCUUACGUCCGGGGCGACACACGUGUUACAAUGGGCGGUACAGCGGGAAGCCAGGCGGCGACGCCGAGCGGAACCCGAAAGCCGUUCUCAGUUCGGAUCGGAGUCUGCAACCCGACUCCGUGAAGCUGGAUUCGCUAGUAAUCGCGCAUCAGCCAUGGCGCGGUGAAUACGUUCCCAGGCCUUGUACACACCGCCCGUCAAGCCAUGGGAGCCGGGGGUGCUUGAAGUGCGUCGCCGUGAGGCGCGCCCUAGAGCAAAACUCGGUGACUGGGGAUAAGUCGUAACAAGGUA